GGGCUCAUAGAUCAGCUGGUAGAGCGUGCGCUUACAAAGCGUAGGUGGCGUCCAUGCGUGGGUUCGAGUCCCACCGAGGCUG
rnacentral:tRNA from 1 species